rnacentral:lncRNA from 1 species
UAAGAAGAAAUUUGCCUGCAAUGAUACUGAAAUUGAGCAUACAGAAUAUGGAGAAGUAAUUCAGCUACAGGGUGACCAGUGCAAGAACAUAUGCCAGUUCCUGGUAGAGAUUGGACUGGCUAAGGAGGAUCAGUUGAAGGUUCAUGGGUUUUAAGUGCUUGUGGCUCACUGAAGCUUAAGUGAGGAUUUCCUUGCAAUGAGUAGAAUUUCCCUUCUGUCCCUUGUCACAAGUUUAAAAACCUCACAGUUUGUAUA